CGCAGGCGGCCAAGUAAGUCGAAUGUGAAAGCCCCCGGCUCAACUGGGGAAGGUCAUUCGAUACUGUUUGGCUUGAAGAUAGGAGAGGGAAGCGGAAUUUCCGGUGUAGUGGUGAAAUGCGUAGAUAUCGGAAGGAACACCAGUGGCGAAGGCGGCUUUCUGGCCUAUUCUUGACGCUGAGGCGCGAAAGCUAGGGAAGCGAACG
rnacentral:rRNA from 1 species